rnacentral:rRNA from 1 species
UACGGAGGGUCCAAGCGUUAUCCGGAAUCAUUGGGUUUAAAGGGUCCGUAGGCGGUUUUGUAAGUCAGUGGUGAAAGCCCAUCGCUCAACGGUGGAACGGCCAUUGAUACUGCAAGACUUGAAUUAUUAGGAAGUAACUAGAAUAUGUAGUGUAGCGGUGAAAUGCUUAGAGAUUACAUGGAAUACCAAUUGCGAAGGCAGGUUACUACUAAUGGAUUGACGCUGAUGGACGAAAGCGUGGGGAGCGAACGGG